rnacentral:lncRNA from 1 species
GCCCACGUCAUGGCGCCUGAGGAGAACGCGGGUACCAAACUCUUGCUGCAGAGUUUCGAGCGCCGCUUCCUAGCGGCGCGCACACUGCGCUCCUUCCCCUGGCAGGUGCACCCUGCGACAUCUGAAGGUCAGGCUUUCAGCCGCUGUGGCUUCCACUUCCAACUGGCUCCGCGUCCCCAGGGAGGGAUCACAUAGCGCUUUGCCAACACAUUCUAUUGCGUGUUUUAAUGUUCCUGUGAAUGCGCCCUUGAGAUUUCUCUCUCUCCCGUCCACACGGAGCUUAGAAGCAAAAUUAAGAGACUCAUCAGAUUCUGAGCUGCUGCGGGAUAUUUUGCAGAAGCACGAGGCUGUCCACACGGAGCUUUUGGACGAGCUGUACGAGGCGCUGGCAGAGACCCUGAUGGCCAAGGAGUCCACCCAGGGCCACUGGAGCUAUUUGCUGCCCUCGGAAGGCUCGGUCACACUCUCCGAGCACAGCCAUCAUCUCCCACGGUACCACAGGCCUGGUCACAUGGGACGCUGCCCGCUACCUUGCAGAAUGGGCCAUCAAGAACCUGGCAGCCUUCACUAACAGGACUGUCCUAGAGCUUGGCAGUGGCGCCGGCCUUACAGGCCUGUCCAUCUGCAAGAUGUGCCACCCCCGGACAUACAUCUUCAGCGACUGUCACAGCCGGGUCCUCGAGCAGCUCCGAGGGAAUGUCCUUCUCAAUGGCCUCUCAUUAGAGGCAGACAUCACUGCCAACUUAGAUAGCCCCAGGGUGACAGUGGCCCAGCUGGACUGGGAUGUAGCGACGGUCCAUCAGCUCUCUGCCUUCCAGCCAGAUGUUGUCAUUACAGCAGACGUGCUGUAUUGCCCAGAAGCCAUCGUGUCCCUGGUCGGGGUCCUGCGGAGGCUGGCUGCCUGCUGGGAGCACCAGCGGGCUCCUGAGGUCUACAUGGCCUUUACCGUCCGCAACCCAGAGACGUGCCAGGUGUUCACCACCGAGCUAGGCUGGGCUGGGAUCAGAUGGGAAGCGGAAGCUCAUCAUGACCAGAAACUGUUUCCCUAUGGAGAGCACUUGGAGAUGGCAAUGCUGAACCUCACACUGUAGGACUCAUACACGACUCCAACGGGAUUGUUAGAAUCAAAUCACUCUCGUGGGAAGAAUUUUUAUAUGGGAAAGCGGAUAAAACUUUCAUUGGACUGGAAUGUUUGGAGAAUGUUAAAUUCCAAAUCAGGAACCACAAUCUGCCCUCUAAUAAGACAUCGGCUAUCUAAGCAUGUGGGUGCCCCCUUUCUGCCAGCAGUUCUGGUUCUUAAGAAAAUCACCAUAAAUCAGACAUGAAAAUUCUGGCUCCAAAAAUAGCAUUUUCUUUGUGCAAAUAAAAACGUGUGUAUCAAGUA